AACAGGGUUUAGUGUUCAGGAAGAGGUAACACUGCUUACAUGGGGUACAUUCUGAAGGAAGAGGUAGCACUACUUACAUGGGGUUCAUUCAUCAGGAAGAUGUAACAGUACUAACAUGGGAUCCAUCUUCAGGAAUAGGUAACAGUGGUAACAUGUGGUUCAUUCAACAGGAAGAGGUAACACUGCUUACAUGGAGUUCAUCUUCAGGAAGUGCUAAC